rnacentral:snRNA from 1 species
UUUUGGUGUUGCUUCUGCAGCUGCCAUUAGCCAUUGAUGAUCGUUCUUCUUUUCCUUUUUGGAGAUGAAGAGGGAGAGAACGUAGUCUGAGUGG